GCCAAAGAGGCCAAGGAAGCCCUCGGCCAAUCGCAACGCGGAAGGAGCUGAUUGACGCGGGGGUAGGGCUGCACCAAGGAGACGGAGCUCCUGGGCCCCAGUGCUUCUGGGGCGGUUCUGUGGCUCUCCAGUCUAGGGUUGUGCCCUUUCUCCUUUCUUUUCCUCACUUGUUGGCUCCGACUCCUGAGGCCUCUCUCCCUCCUUUUCCGCAGAUUGACACCGCAGUAACCAAGUGGGCCGGAAUCAGGGAUGAUCAAGACGCUGUCCCUGCUCGCCGUCACUCAUUCAACAGACCAGAGCGCCGCCCUUGGCCAGAAGCUCCCCAGACCCGGGAACAGGUGUUUGUGGCUAUGAAGACACCAGAGGGAACUGAGCCCAGAGGAGAGAAGUUUUCCUGGAGUAAGGAACCACCGGUGCUGCCGAAGUUUUCCUGGAGUAAGGAACCACCGGUGCAGGAUCGCGCUAGCCAUGCUAAGGAAAUUGGAACUUCUGCGAGCAGCGGAGAGCUCCUGGAAGAUUUCUAUUUGCAUUUACAAGGAGAGAGCAAGCUGACAUGUUCUGUGCUGGUUCCCCUACUGACAUCAUACUCCCUCAGAACCCAAUGCUGGAUACUGAGUGACAUGUUCAAUGAAUAAUCUACCGACAGUGAAUUGCCUGGAGCAAUGCCUCUUACAAUGGGGGAGGCAGGGGAGAUUUUGCCCCUAAGAGACAUAUGACCUUCUCACAACUGGGUAGAGGGAAACAACAGUAGAGUGGAUGAAGCUGAGAAUCAAACCAAUGAUUUGGAACAUAAGGAAGAAAGAAACAACCAAUCAGAACAACAAGAAAGAAAAAGGAGUCCCCCAAAAUGAGCACAGUGUUAGCAGCCUCUGGGACAACUUCAAGAGGCCCACAUGUGCAUCACAGGGGGGCCAGAAGGAGAAGAGAAAGAACAAAAAAUUGGAAAUCUAUUUGGAAAAAUAGUGAAAGAAAACU